rnacentral:tRNA from 1 species
AAUUAUUUAACUUUUAUAGUUUUAUGUUUUGAAAACAUAUGUAAGAAUUUAAUUAUUCUAAUAAUUU